rnacentral:rRNA from 1 species
GACGAACGCUGGCGGCGUGCCUAACACAUGCAAGUCGAACGAGGUCCAAGGGAGCUUGCUCCCUGACGACCUAGUGGCGAACGGGUGAGUAACACGUGAGAAACCUGCCUCGGAGUGGGGAAUAACUCGGGGAAACUCGAGCUAAUACCGCAUACCUUCACAUGAUCGCAUGGUCGAGUGAAGAAAGAAUUUCGCUCUGAGAGGGUCUCGCGGCCUAUCAGCUUGUUGGUGGGGUAACGGCCUACCAAGGCAACGACGGGUAGCUGGUUUGAGAGAACGAUCAGCCACACUGGGACUGAGACACGGCCCAGACUCCUACGGGAGGCAGCAGUGGGGAAUCUUGCGCAAUGGGCGAAAGCCUGACGCAGCAACGCCGCGUGCGGGAUGACGGCCUUCGUGGUUGUAAACCGCUUUCAGCAGGGACGAAAAUGAUGGUACCUGCAGAAGAAGCCCCGGCUAACUACGUGCCAGCCGCCGCCGUAA